rnacentral:misc_RNA from 1 species
AUGUGGUACAUUCCUUCUUCUCCAUAAGUAAGUCUCCUGCUGUAUAAGCAUGCAUGUAUAAUAAUCCAGAUUUGUUAUGUCUUGUGCAAGAUUAUUGGCUAAGAAUGUCAAAUUCUUUUGAUUUUACUUAAAUUGGUUCUAAGAUCUUUGUGAAUAGAUUGAAACUUGCUUUUAGAUAGUAUUACUUCCACAUAUGCUAAAAAAGGUGGUAAUGAAAUUCACAGUUCUGAAA